rnacentral:rRNA from 1 species
UUUAUUUAUUAAUUUAUUUAUUUUUUUUUUAGUUUAUUUUAGAAAUAACUAUAAUAUAAAAUGUUUUAGUAUUUUAUAAAGAAUAAAUAAUAUUUAUAAUAGUUUAUUAGUAUUGUGAAAGAAAAUUGAAAUAAUUUGAAAAAUUUUUAUUAAAUAAGAAAAUUUAAUUUAUUGUACCUUGUGUAUCAGGGUUUAUCAAUUAAAAUAUAAAUUUUUAUAUUUCUCGAUUUUAAAAGAGUUAAUGAAUUAUUAAAGUUAUUGUGAUAAAAUUAUUUUAAAUAAUUUAUUAGAAAUGAAAUGUUAUUCGUUUUUAAUGGUAUCUAGUUUUUUAAGAAAUAAAUUUAAUUUAGAAAUUAUUAAGUAAAUAUUUUGUUAAAUAAAUUAUUUAUUUUAAUAAUUUUAAUAUAUUAUGGGAUAAGCUGUAGUAUAAAUUUUUAAAAAUAAUAAAUUGAAUAAAAAUGUAUGUUUAGAAUUAGCAAUCAUUAACAAAUUUGUUAUAAAUUAUUUAUUUAUUUAAAUGAUUUAUUAUAUUUUAAUUAUUUAUUAAAAUAAUUUUUUGAAUUUUAUAAAAAAUGUAAUAAUGAUAAAAUUAGUAUAUAUUAAUGUUUUAAAAAUUAUAAUUGAAAAGUUUAUUUAAAGAAUUCGGCAAAAUUAAUGCUCGCCUGUUUAACAAAAACAUGUCUUUUUGUAUUAUAUUGGUAAAGUCUAACCUGCCCACUGAAUAAUUUGAAUGGCCGCAGUAUCCUAACUGUGCAAAGGUAGCAUAAUCAUUAGUCUUUUAAUUGAAGGCUGGAAUGAAUGGUUGGACGAGGUAUUAACUGUUUCAAAUAAAUUUUUUAUAGAAUUUUAUUUUUUAGUCAAAAAGCUAAAAUUUAAUUAAAAGACGAGAAGACCCUAUAAAUCUUUACUGUUAUUUAUAUUUUAAUUAUAUAGAAUAAUUUUAUUAUAAUAUAAAUAAUAGUUUUAUUGGGGUGAUAUUAAAAUUUAAAAAACUUUUAAUUUUUAAGAUACAUAAAUUAAUGAAUAAUUGAUCCAUUAUUAGUGAUUAAAAAUUUAAGUUACUUUAGGGAUAACAGCGUAAUUUUUUUGGAGAGUUCAUAUCGAUAAAAAAGAUUGCGACCUCGAUGUUGGAUUAAGAAAAAUUUUAGGUGUAGCCGCUUAAAUGUUAAGUCUGUUCGACUUUUAAAUUCUUACAUGAUCUGAGUUCAAACCGGCGUAAGCCAGGUUGGUUUCUAUCUUUAAUUUUUUAUAAUAUUUUAGUACGAAAGGACCAAAUAUUAGAAUAAUAAUAUUUUUUGUUAUGAAUAUAAAUAAAAUA